CGUCCCCAGCCUGCCUCUCAUCCCACCUCCACUUGGGGUGGGGCUUCACCUGGCCUCAAGGUUGCUCGUGGCCUCCUGAUCUGACCACACUGAUUCUGGCCCGUGUAGACAGCAUCCCGGAAUGCUCACGGCUAGUUUCCAGGGAAAGGAGAUUUUCCCUCCCUCUGGAGAGAGUGAGCGUGGACAGCUCAUUGGCAGAAGGAAGGAGUUCCCGUGGCCUCCUCCAGUCUUGGCGCUUCACCUCCCAACUCCAUCCGCGGAAGCAUCACCCCGCAUGCAGCCAGAAGCAGGCAAGCAGCGUUUUGCAGCAGGCAAGCCUUGUCAUUUUCAAACAGAGCCCGAUGUAUUAUGAUACACUCGGAACUGAAUGCCGUAAUACUUUAUUUCAACAUUAUAUGACAUCAUUAAAGACACUUUAUGUUGUUUUUGUCUGUGGUUGGGAAUUAUGUCUGCUUAAUCAGUCUCAUUAUGCAUUCGACUUCCCUGACGCAUCAAAGGCUGAUAAGGGUUGUUGUUGUUGUUUCUGUUUUGUUUUGUUUUGUUUUGUUUUAAACUUUGCUCGCUUAAAAUGAUUUCCCUCCAGAUCAAGAUGCAGAGCACAAAAUAUUAAUCAGUUUAAAUAAAUAUCAAGACUACCCAAAUAAUAUGAAUAAUUGGCACGGAAUAAUGCCUACUGCCCAGUUCCCAACAGCUGGUCACGCUGGCACGUGGCACCCUCUCAACAGUCUUUCGGAUAAUGACUUUGGCAUCUGCCGACAAGCGCUUGCUACUGCCCACAGAAUUUAUAACUCACAAGUGGGAAACAGAGGCUCUGACAGAACUUUUUUAUGCAAGGUCUUUGAAAUUUAUUAAUGUAAUGCAAACACAAGCCUUCCAACCCAUUAAAUUGUUGAUGUUAUGCGAAUCCACUCUGGAAUGGCAGAUCCUCAUUAACAUUAUUUGCAUGUUAAUCUGCAUCUUUUUAAUUAGUGAUAUUAUUUAUGCACAUAAUUUUCGCCUACUGGUGCCAAGGCUGAAGCGCAUUAAUUAAUCUACUGAGAUGCCAAACUGUUUAUUUUCUCCCGUACUUUUAUUUGUUUACAUGGUGUUUUGGAUUCAGGGAAAAUAAAAAAGAGCCUGAAGAAUAAAAGCAGAAAGACAAGAUUAAGUAAAAGCUCUUUUUGUUUUCAUAAUUUAAAUUGUAAUAUUAGCCAAAUGUUGUGUUUCUUCCCUUAGAGAUCAGUUAUUCGGUUACAUUACCUUGAUGUAUUAUUAAAAUUUAUAAUGGACUCCAGAGGCUUCUGUUAGUUCUCUCCUUCAUUUACAGAAUAUACUCAAUGUUAUUUUAAUCUUCCGACAACGCUCCCAUGCAUAGGCAAUGAUGAGCCAUCCCUAGCGAAUCGCCAGUGCGGCUCCACUUUGCACAACUGAUAAACAUUUAAAUAAGCCUUUUCAGAAAAGAAUAGCACGUAAAAUUAUUAACCCGUUGAUGGAGUCUGCUGCUGCUGAGUAAUUCUGCUCCCCUCAAAAUAGGUCAAUUGCAAAGUGCGUUUGAUUUGGCGACAUUCACUCAUUCCCAUUCCUGAAACCGUGAUUACCAGGCAUUCUCCAGAACUGGGUGUCCACUGGUGUGCAUGCAUGCGGCACGAAGUUCUUAAAGUGCAUGAUUAAAAUGUUCUGCACUAUCUAUGCUAAGUACACACUCGUUUGGAGCCAGGAGAAGAAAGGGAGAUUGCACGCCAAUGGGCCUUGUAAUAAAUGAUAACAUAAUUCAAAAGCAGUUCCCAUUCCAGGGGAAUGAAAGUAAAAAAUUGCAUUCCACUAACCACGGUCACACGUAUUUAUUAUUUAUACCACAUCAGAGAGAAUAUCCACGAGCAGCGCGUUAAGAUACUCAAGGAAGUGCUGGUCUUCUGAGUAGCGGUGACUAAUGAUGUGUUUCCAGCCCCAGUCUCCCUGGGCUGCAGGGUGACGCCUCUGCCUCCCCACGGCACGUCCGCCUUCACCAGAGCUGCCCCCCGGAUGGUCUCCAGCUGAACGAGACCUCCUGUCCCGCAAGUGACGAGCUCCAUCAGGCCUGCCUCGAGUAAAUCACGACAACGGUCCCAUGUUUUAAUAAGAUGGCUGGAAUCUAUUGGGCGUGACAGCUCGGGAGAGGGAAGUGGGGCCAAGUUCCCUCUCUGGCUUAUGCUAUUUGAAUAGCACAUAACAUUAGGUUGUAGUUCAUUUGUCAGAUGACUUCGAGUCACGUGGCGCCUCCUGGUUCACCGAAGGGUCGAGAAGAGGAAUAGGCCCCGGGGCGCAUGGAAAUUCAGGGACAAGGCAGGGAGGGUGCGGGUUCUAGGUACAAACCGGGUGUCUUGGCCCACGUUUUCCAAGCGGACUGGGGUCUCACUGAGGUGAGACCCCAAAGCCAGUGGCAGAGCUGGAAUGCAGUUUGUUCGUUAGCUGGGUAUUUUUGUUUCUUUGUUUGUUUGGGGGACGGGGUGUGGAAAAUAAAUGCUGUUGGUGAAAGUUUAAAUACAAAGCGUGUAAGGUAAAAGUAAAAGAGCUUUUCCCUAAGCCCUGACUAGAGGCCUUGUCUGUUUUUCCAGAGUAUUCUAUGAGUAUAUGAACAUCUAUGAAUAGAAAACAGGAUUAUAUUAGAAAAGCAGAACAGGGUUUCUGUUCACGAAACACUGCAUUCUGGGCAUCUGUCACAAUGCGUGCUGCCUCAUGGAAACCUGGAUGGUGAGGUGCUUUCGGCCUCAGGGCCACCUUGGCUGCAUCCAUACCAAAUGGAGGAGGCAUCGUGGGAGUGUGCUCUUACCCAGAUGGACUUUGGGGUGGAUGGACUACGUUCACCAAUGUUUAAACUCUUUCUACUUCCCAGGAAAUGGCAUGAGAACAUCAUCCAGGAACGACCAAUCAAUCAAUAGUAGAAGACACGUUUUCUCGUAAUUCUACAACUUGCUUUUAGUCAUUUGUGUUUAUGCCUGUGACAACCUUGUCAAAAAGUGCCAGUGAUGUACAACAAUGUUGUGUGAUCUACACAACUGGAAAGGAACACUGGGCUUCGAGCUUGAUGAGGCCAGCGCAUAUUGAGGUGAUUUUACCGUGACCUUGAUGGGGGAGUCCUGGCUUUAUGCAGAACAAGGUCCCCACGCUUGAUCCUGUAAUCUGCGGCUCGCCAUGAGGUCACCAAGCCAAGCUGGCAUAAGGGUCAGGUAACUUUCUUUAGAGUUAGAUACAAUUUGGGAAUGAUGUGCAGAUGUGAGGCUGGACGUCCAGAAGCAUGAAACUGGGUCUGCUAUCUCCCUGGAGAAUGAGAAGCUUCUGGAUUGUCUUAGGGGCGCUCUUUCCAACUCUGAAACUAGAGGCUAUGAAGUAUAGUGUGGCGUCCCUUCCUGUUGAGGAUUACUGCCUUUUAUCUUCACUCCUCCUUUGUCAUGGGGACAGUGGGGGCUUGCUUCCCACUAUUUGUUAGGGGGACAUGUUACUUUCUCUGUGUAAGAGCUGGCCUUGUUUUUUGCUAAGAUGACCAUACUAGUGGGCAACCAUAUUUCAUGGGGUAACCCGCUGUCUUCCAGGAGGAACCUGGUUGUAUAAUUUUUAAUCAAUUGUAUAUGUAAAUUAAGUAUGUAAUUGUAUAUUAGUGUAAAUAGAUCCUAUGUAUAUUAUGUACAGUAUGCUAUGUAUAAUAAUAUACAUGAUGUGUAUUAUAUAUUAAUGGUAAUGUAUUAAAUAUUUACAUAUAUGUAAA